UACGAAGGGGGCUAGCGUUGUUCGGAUUUACUGGGCGUAAAGCGCACGUAGGCGGAUCGUUAAGUCGGGGGUGAAAUCCUGGAGCUCAACUCCAGAACUGCCUUCGAUACUGGCGAUCUUGAGUCCGGAAGAGGUGAGUGGAACUCCUAGUGUAGAGGUGGAAUUCGUAGAUAUUAGGAAGAACACCAGUGGCGAAGGCGGCUCACUGGACCGGAACUGACGCUGAGGCGCGAAAAGCGUGGGGAGCAACAGGG
rnacentral:rRNA from 1 species